rnacentral:rRNA from 1 species
AUACGUAGGGAGCGAGCGUUGUCCGGAAUUACUGGGUGUAAAGGGUGCGUAGGCGGGACUGCAAGUCAGAUGUGAAAUGCCGGGGCUCAACCCCGGAGCUGCAUUUGAAACUGUGGUUCUUGAGUGAGGUAGAGGUAAGCGGAAUUCCUAGUGUAGCGGUGAAAUGCGUAGAUAUUAGGAGGAACAUCGGUGGCGAAGGCGGCUUACUGGGCCUUUACUGACGCUGAGGCACGAAAGCGUGGGGAGCAAACAGGAUUAGAUACCCUGGUAGUCCACGCUGUAAACGAUGAAUACUAGGUGUGGGGGGACUGACCCCCUCCGUGCCGCAGUUAACACAAUAAGUAUUCCACCUGGGGAGUACGAUCGCAAGGUUGAAACUCAAAUGAAUUGACGGGG